AUGCUGGUCUCUUUUUAUCUCCUUUCUGAACUGCAAGAAUUAACAGACAGCUGCAUCAGUCUUUCAAGCUUAUUGUUACAACCUGAGUAGAUCAGACCUUAAUUCUUGCUUGAUUUUAUUUAUAAGGGUGGCAGAGGCUCUCAUGUAAUGGUGUGUCUCUACCAGCUCUGGCUUGGAGAGGCACCCUGCUGAUCACAAGAUUCCCAGUAAGCUCACCAGUGAUUUAAAACUUAAACCUUGGAGCUAUUCAGUUCCUGGAAAAUUAUCAUUAAUUAAUUAGGUGGCAGGUGGUGAGUUCCAAGGGUUUUAUUACUAUUAAUUCAAACUGGAAAUUAGAAAUAAAAAUGAAGGAGCAAAAUAACUGAAAAUCCAGAAGAGAGGUUUUCAUUAAUCCUUUCAGUUCAGUGCUACAGAAGAUUAAUGAGUUCUGUUCAAGCUGAGAUAGGCAUCCAAUACAAAACCUUCCAAAAUGUAUAUUUCAGAGGUAAGCUGGAGAGAAACAGCUUAGAGAAAAAAAGUAAUCUCAAAAUAAAAUUGAAAAUGAGACCAACACUGCUUCAAAUUUACAGUGAUCACCUGUAUUUUCAUAUGCAUAUCCAGUGAUUAUUACUAGCAACAUAAAACAAAGAUUCUUCUCCCCAUAAUUCAGCAUCACUGUGGGUUAUAUAUAUGAGUGAAGGAAACACUAGGGAAGUUUGCCCCAGAAGCUCCCCCAUAGCCUCCUCCCUUUUCUCUGAUUUUUUGACCUCUGACUGUUUUAUCAUGCUUUGUUUCAAAAGAGGCAAUUUAUCUGCAGGUUCAUCCAGAACAGCUCAAUGGUCUUUCUCAAAACUACAGUUCACUGGUUUUGUCAAAUCUAGGAUACAGGAGGCAGCUACUGCAAAACCCAUUCAAGACUCAAAUCUGAUGCAGAACUCCAAAAUCUUCUAGCUAAAAAUGAGCAAACCUGAUGAUCCUAUUGAGAUUCAAGACUCCUUGGUUCUUUGGCACCCUAUUCAUUACCAGUAGCAGAGUAGUGCCCUUCUUCUUCAUGUUUGUCCAGACUGC
rnacentral:lncRNA from 1 species